AGUGUUUGACGUGCUCGAUCUGCUCCUUUAUGUCUUCAUUGUCAUCACAAAUUUCUUCAAACUUAAAUAUCUUAAGGACCUUCACCGGACUUGAUAAUAGAGAUUAACGAACUUUGUGAUGACAACGAAGACACAGCUGAUCAAAUCAAG
rnacentral:pre_miRNA from 1 species